UACUCCUGUGUUUUGUAAAAA
rnacentral:piRNA from 1 species